GCGAAAUAUCUGACAAGAAAUCACAUUUCAGCCUCUUCUGGCUACCAGAGACUAUAUCUGGACAGCAGGAGGUUCUGACGAAGGUUCGGUUCUACUGAAGGGUUCGGUUUGUUCGCUCCUCUCCGGUCGGAACCAGUUUGAUAGAAAGUUAGAACUCACCGGACCGA